ACUCCUACGGGAGGCAGCAGUGGGGAAUAUUGCACAAUGGGCGCAAGCCUGAUGCAGCCAUGCCGCGUGUAUGAAGAAGGCCUUCGGGUUGUAAAGCACUUUCAGUCGUGAGGAAGGUAGUGUAGUUAAUAGCUGCAUUAUUUGACGUUAGCGACAGAAGAAGCACCGGCUAACUCCGUGCCAGCAGCCGCGGUAAUACGGAGGGUGCGAGCGUUAAUCGGAAUUACUGGGCGUAAAGCGCAUGCAGGUGGUUUGUUAAGUCAGAUGUGAAAGCCCGGGGCUCAACCUCGGAAUAGCAUUUGAAACUGGCAGGACUAGAGUACUGUAGAGGGGGGUAGAAUUUCAGGUGUAGCGGUGAAAUGCGUAGAGAUCUGAAGGAAUACCGGUGGCGAAAGGCGGCCCCCUGGACAGAUACUGACACUCAGAUGCGAAAGCGUGGGGAGCAAACAGGAUUAGAUACCCUGGUAGGAUAGCG
rnacentral:rRNA from 1 species